rnacentral:rRNA from 1 species
UAGCGGCAGGCUUAAUACAUGCAAGUCGAGGGGCAGCGCGGGUAGCAAUACCUGGCGGCGACCGGCAAACGGGUGCGGAACACGUACGCAACUUUCCUUCGAGUGGGGAAUAGCCCAGGGAAACUUGGAUUAAUACCCCGUAAUAUUAUGAAGUGGCAUCACUUUAUAAUUAUAGUUACGGCGCUUGAAGAUGGGCGUGCGGCUGAUUAGGUAGUUGGCGGGGUAACGGCCCACCAAGCCUACGAUCAGUAACUGGUGUGAGAGCACGACCAGUCACACGGGCACUGAGACACGGGCCCGACUCCUACGGGAGGCAGCAGUAAGGAAUAUUGGUCAAUGGGCGCAAGCCUGAUCCAGCCAUGCCGCGUGUGUGAAGAAGGCCUUCGGGUUGUAAAGCACUUUCGGCCGGAACGAAAUCGCCUUUGUUAAUAGCGAGGGUGGAUGACGGUACCGGAAGAAGAAGCACCGGCUAACUACGUGCCAGCAGCCGCGGUAAUACGUAGGGUGCGAGCGUUAAUCGGAAUUACUGGGCGUAAAGGGUGCGCAGGCGGUUUCGCAAGUCAGGCGUGAAAUCCCCGGGCUUAACCUGGGAAUGGCACUUGAAACUACGAGACUAGAGUAUGGCAGAGGGAGGUGGAAUUCCACGUGUAGCGGUGAAAUGCGUAGAGAUGUGGAGGAACACCGAUGGCGAAGGCAGCCUCCUGGG